rnacentral:tRNA from 1 species
GAGAGAGCAAGACCCAGCCCGAAAGAUUGCUAGUUUUUCAGGACCGCAGUUGAACUCCGCGGCUCACUCG